rnacentral:rRNA from 1 species
AUUGAACGCUGGCGGCAUGCUUUACACAUGCAAGUCGAACGGUAGACCCUUUCGGGGGUUGAGAGUGGCGAACGGGUGAGUAAUGCAUCGGAACGUGCCUAGUCGUGGGGGAUAACGUAGCGAAAGUUACGCUAAUACCGCAUACGCACUGAGGUGGAAAGCGGGGGACCGUAAGGCCUCGCGCGAUUGGAGCGGCCGAUGUCGGAUUAGCUAGUUGGUGAGGUAAAGGCUCACCAAGGCGACGAUCCGUAGCGGGUCUGAGAGGAUGAUCCGCCACACUGGGACUGAGACACGGCCCAGACUCCUACGGGAGGCAGCAGUGGGGAAUUUUGGACAAUGGGCGCAAGCCUGAUCCAGCCAUGCCGCGUGAGUGAAGAAGGCCUCGGUUGUAAGACUCUUCUAGUGGAAGAAAUACGCACUUUUAAUUAACUAA